rnacentral:rRNA from 1 species
AUUGAACGCUGGCGGCAGGCCUAACACAUGCAAGUCGAACGGUAACAGAAAGCAGCUUGCUGCUUUGCUGACGAGUGGCGGACGGGUGAGUAAUGUCUGGGAAACUGCCUGAUGGAGGGGGUUAACUACUGGAAACGGUAGCUAAUACCGCAUAACGUCGCAAGACCAAAGAGGGGGACCUUCGGGCCUCUUGCCAUCGGAUGUGCCCAGAUGGGAUUAGCUAGUAGGUGGGGUAACGGCUCACCUAGGCGACGAUUCCUAGCUGGUCUGAGAGGAUGACCAGCCACACUGGAACUGAGACACGGUCCAGACUCCUACGGGAGGCAGCAGUGGGGAAUAUUGCACAAUGGGCGCAAGCCUGAUGCAGCCAUGCCGCGUGUAUGAAGAAGGCCUUCGGGUUGUAAAGUACUUUCAGCGGGGAGGAAGGGAGUAAAGUUAAUACCUUUACUCUUUGACGUUACCCGCAGAAGAAGCACCGGCUAACUCCGUGCCAGCCGCCGCGGUAA